GGUGGGAGGGCCCGGGCCUAGGAGGAGGCUGUGAGUGAGUGCAUCUCCAUCACCAAGCUGGUCAAGGACAUACAGACCAAGUCCCUGGGGGAGAUCAUUUGAUCUUCCAGCCCACUAAGAAACGUGAGAUCGCUGACUUUUUCCAGGUAAUGUCCCCAAAGGAUUAGGUUGGGGCAGACCAGCAGACCAGGUUAAAGACUUUUGUCGGGGAUUACAAUGGUCAUGCUGGUCUGAGUGUUAAGUGCCCCAAGAAGGUAGUCACUGCCAUUCAAGGGUCCAUCAUCUUGGCCAAGCUUUCCACCGUCCCUGUGCGCAGAGACUGGGGGAACAAAAGUGGCAAUUCCUCACUGUUCCACGCGAGGUGACGGCCACUGUGGUUGUGUGUUGGUGUGUCUUCUCCCUGCCACCACAGUCGCUGCCAUUGUCUCUGCUCCCGUGCCCAAGAAGUUGCUGCUGAUAGCUGGUAUUGCUGACUACCACACAUCAGCUGGGGGCCACAAUGCCACCCUGGGCAACUUUGCUAAGGCCACCUUUGAUGUCAUCUCUAAGACUACAGCUACUUGAGUCCCAACCUCUGGAAAGAUACCAUGUUCACCAAGUCUCUUCAUUCGAAAUGCACUGACCGUCUUGGGAAGCCCCCAGCAGAAUCUAUGUUCAGACGCCCCAGGAGCCAGCUCUGGUUACCACAUAG
rnacentral:lncRNA from 1 species